UACGUAUGGUGCAAGCGUUAUCCGGAUUUACUGGGUGUAAAGGGAGCGCAGGCGGCACGGCAAGCCUGAUGUGAAAGCCCGCGGCCCAACCGCGGGACUGCAUUGGGAACUACCGGGCUGGAGUGCCGGAGAGGUAGGCGGAAUUCCUAGUGUAGCGGUGAAAUGCGUAGAUAUUAGGAGGAACACCAGUGGCGAAGGCGGCCUGCUGGACUGUAACUGACGCUGAGGCUCGAAAGCGUGGGGAGCAAACAGG
rnacentral:rRNA from 1 species